rnacentral:rRNA from 1 species
GGGGAAUAUUGCGCAAUGGGGGGAACCCUGACGCAGCAACGCCGCGUGAGUGAAGAAGGCCUUCGGGUCGUAAAACUCUGUCAUUGGGGAAGAAGGACGUGACGGUACCCGAUGAGGAAGCCCCGGCUAACUACGUGCCAGCAGCCGCGGUAAUACGUAGGGGGCGAGCGUUGUCCGGAAUUACUGGGCGUAAAGGGUGCGUAGGCGGCCGAUUAAGUCAGAUGUGAAAUACCACGGCUCAACUGUGGGGGUGCAUAUGAAACUGGUUGGCUUGAGUGCAGGAGAGGAAAGUGGAAUUCCUAGUGUAGCGGUGAAAUGCGUAGAGAUUAGGAGGAACACCAGUGGCGAAGGCGACUUUCUGGACUGUAACUGACGCUGAGGCACGAAAGCGUGGGGAGCAAAC